CAAAGGCAUGGUCCCGACCUUAUUAUCAGCUCUAACUCAACUUACACAUGCAAGUCUCCGCAACCCAGUGAAUAUGCCCUCAAUCCCCCCACCCGGGGACGAGGAGCGGGCAUCAGGCACAAACAUUAGCCCAAGACGCCUAGCCAAGCCACACCCCCAAGGGAAUUCAGCAGUGAUAAACAUUAAGCCAUAAGUGAAAACUUGACUCAGUUAGUGUUAAGAGGGCCGGUAAAACUCGUGCCAGCCACCGCGGUUAGACGAGAGGCCCUAGUUGAUAUUACAACGGCGUAAAGGGUGGUUAAGGAUAAACAAAAAUAAAGUCAAAUGGCCCCUUGGCCGUCAUACGCUUCUAGGAGUCCGAAGCCCUAAUACGAAAGUAACUUUAAUAAACCCACCUGACCCCACGAAAGCUGAGAAACAAACUGGGAUUAGAUACCCCACUAUGCUCAGCCGUAAACUCAGACAUCCAGCUACAAUUAGAUGUCCGCCAGGGUACUACGAGCAUUAGCUUAAAACCCAAAGGACCUGACGGUGUCUCAGACCCCCCUAGAGGAGCCUGUUCUAGAACCGAUAACCCCCGUUCAACCUCACCACUUCUAGCCACCCCAGCCUAUAUACCGCCGUCGUCAGCUUACCCUGUGAAGGUAAUAAAAGUAAGCAAAAUGGGCACAACCCAAAACGUCAGGUCGAGGUGUAGCGCAUGAAGUGGGAAGAAAUGGGCUACAUUUUCUAAUAUAGAAUAUUACGAACAUGCACCAUGAAACAAUGCUUGAAGGAGGAUUUAGUAGUAAAAGGGAAAUAGAGUGUCCCUUUGAACCCGGCUCUGAGACGCGUACACAC
rnacentral:ncRNA from 1 species